ensembl:lncRNA
UCUGUCCUGAAGACUUUCAUUUGGUGGAAAAAUUGCCAACUGUUAUAAAGGGCUGACACUGGAGAUUGAACAAUAACAUUGCAUUAGAGAAAGCUUCACCAUAUCAUAGCACGUUUGCCUCUCACCUCCAGGAGUUGGGGGUUUGAAUCCUGCCUCCUCCUGCUGUAGGCUGAUUAGCAUUUCCAAAUUGUCCGUGGUGUGUGAAUGUGUGUGAGAUUGUGCCCUGUGAUGGCACAGCCUCCAGGGUGUCCCCUGCCUUGUGUCGGAUAAGUGGCAUGGAAAUGUCAUUCACACUUACAGCAUUUGAUAGACACCUUUAUCCAGAGCGACUCGCAUAUCUCGCUUAUUCAACUGAGCAGUUGUGAGUUUAAAGGCCUUGCUCGAGGGCCCAGCAGUGGCGGCUUGGUGGUGCUGGGGUUUGAACUCACGACCUACCAAGCAGAAGUCCAGUGUCAACCCCAUGGAUGGAUGUUUUGUAUCUGUUUGUUAUUAAUCUUAGAUUGUGUGACGUGUUUGUUGUGGACGCCCUGAUAGAAAUGAUUACAUAUUAGAAAGAGUGCAUUAAUAUAAACCUGUGAUUUAUAUUAAUGUCAGUUACGCUGUUAAAUAUGCCUUCGGACCAAUCAGAAUCGAGAAUUCGUUGUUCAGGUGAAAAUGAGCUAAAUGGUCUUCACUUAUAUUGCACUUUUAUCCAAAGUGCUUUACACUGUGUCUCAUUCAUCCAUUCACUCACACACCAAUGGUAGCAGAGCUGCCAUGCAAGGUUCAGUUGUUUGCCCAAUGACACUUUGGAGUCAUGUGGGCCGGAAUCGAACCGCCAACCCUAUGAUUUAGUGGACAUCCCACUCUACCACCUGAGCCACAGCCGGCCAUAUUGAGUAUUUAACUGAUAACAGCUAUCAUGUGCUGGAUCAUUGGGAAAUUCACUGUUAGUCAUUAGAACAUGAAACGUGAUGAGUUUAGAUAUGAUACGUGUUUUUUAUUCUUACUGCUAUACAUCUCUUUACUUAUCUGUAACAUGUAUGUCUGAGACACCCGCCCCAACAUCUGUCUCACACACAUGUUUCACUGCUAGAAUAUUAUCUUUAGUGCAUCUGACUUGUGCUGGUGUCUAGCAGCGAAUCCAUUCCUCCAUCAGAAGUUGUUUUGAUUGUGGAUGAGAUUUUUAUUUGCUCCACGGGCUCGCUUGUACAAACGCCAACUCAUUUAUUUCCCUCGUGUUUUAAACUUUAAUGUAGAGGCCUGAAUGUGCCAAGAAGACAACACAGCGAGUCAUUGCUGCAGUGAUAGCUAUUAAAAACAAUUAAGAUACAAGCUACUGGCUGCAAACGCAAAUGACGGCUGGGAGGGUAAGCGGGGUGCAAAGACUUUCCCUUAAGAGGAGAACUGUGAGCGAUUUUACUGCUGUUGAGCUUACACAUUGGCUGUAAUGGGCAUGAGAGUUUUUAGUAGUGUUGAAAUGGAUUUUCUGCUUCAGUAGACAAUUUUAAACAUUUACUCGGUCAGUAAAACUUUAGUCAUUACAUUAAUAUCAAUCACUUACAGUACACUUUAGUUAAUUUAGUGAAUCAGCAUUUCACACAUUAGUGACUAUGUAAUAUUUUACACAAUUGAGUAUUCCGUUUAAGCAUAUAUUAGGCCACAGAAUUAUUGGCACCCUUCAUGAAAAUGAAUUUAUAAAGCGAAGAACACUGUCAAUAAGCGAUCAUUUUGAGGCAAGAUACAUGCAGGUUAAUAGGAUAUUUUGAAUCACAGUCAGUCUUUGUCAUUGGAUGGCUAAUAUUCUCAAAUUUCUUUGUAUUGGCACUUUCUCAAUUGUAUAUAUUUAUUUAGUUAGUUAGUUAUUAGUAUAAAGUCUGACUUUAAUACAUCAAUCAACAUUUUGGGAAAUCAGGAAAGAAUAUGUAAAAUUUCACAAAUGUAGGUCAUCUAGAAACUUUUGAAUAGACAACCCCAAUUCUGAAAAAGUUGGGACAGUAUGGAAAAUACUAAUAAAAACUGGAGUGGAGUGAUUUUGUAAAUGUACUUUGACUUGUGUUUAAACAAAAAAUGUGUAAAGACAAGGAAAUUGAUGUUUUACCUAAUCAACUGCAUUUUUAUUUUUAUUUAUUUAUUUUUUUGAAGAUAAAUGUUUAUUUUGAAAUUAAUGCAUGCAACAUGUUCCAAAAAAUUUGGGACGGGGCAAUUUAGGACUAAUAGCGAUGUGACGAGUUGAAAUAAGAAGGUGAUGUGAAACAGGUGAGGCUAAUCGUCUAAUCAUAGUAUAUAAGGAGCCUCCAAAAAAAAGCCUAGUCCUUCUAGAGCAAUUAUGGGUCAAGGCUCACUGACCUGCAAACAGAUGCAAGUGCAAGUUCAGGUUCAGGUGUCUUUUAUUGUCAUUUAAACCAUAUACAGCUGGUACAGUACACAGUGAAACGAGCAUACAUAAAACAAGACCCUAACCACAUGAGACGACACAGAACUAAAUAUGAUCUGAUCUACACAUUCUACACAAAGUGUACAUGCAAAUCAAAUCUACAACUAUGCCUCUGGAAAUAGUAGAAAAACACUAAGGG